rnacentral:rRNA from 1 species
UACGGAGGGGGCAAGCGUUGUUCGGAAUUAUUGGGCGUAAAGGGCGCGUAGGCGGCCGGCCAAGUCGGGUGUGAAAUCCCUCGGCUCAACCGAGGAACUGCACUCGAUACUGGCUGGCUUGAGUUCGGGAGGGGAUGGUGGAAUUCCCAGUGUAGCGGUGAAAUGCGUAGAUAUUGGGAAGAACACCGGUGGCGAAGGCGACCAUCUGGACCGGAACUGACGCUGAGGCGCGAAAGCCAGGGGAGCGAAUGGG